CACUCCUACGGGAGGCAGCAGUGGGGAAUAUUGCACAAUGGGCGGAAGCCUGAUGCAGCAACGCCGCGUGCGGGAUGACGGCCUUCGGGUUGUAAACCGCUUUCGCCUGUGACGAAGCGUGAGUGACGGUAAUGGGUAAAGAAGCACCGGCUAACUACGUGCCAGCAGCCGCGGUGAUACGUAGGGUGCGAGCGUUGUCCGGAUUUAUUGGGCGUAAAGGGCUCGUAGGUGGUUGAUCGCGUCGGAAGUGUAAUCUUGGGGCUUAACCCUGAGCGUGCUUUCGAUACGGGUUGACUUGAGGAAGGUAGGGGAGAAUGUAAUUCCUGGUGGAGCGGUGGAAUGCGCAGAUAUCAGGAGGAACACCAGUGGCGAAGGCGGUUCUCUGGGCCUUUCCUGACGCUGAGGAGCGAAAGCGUGGGGAGCGAACAGGCUUAGAUACCCGGGUAGUCCCA
rnacentral:rRNA from 1 species